rnacentral:rRNA from 1 species
GAUCCUGCGGGAGAUUGCUGCUAUUGGGAUUCGACAAGCCAUGCAAGUCAAGGGGGUUCUUCGGAACCACCGGCAGAAUGCUCAGUAACACGUCGAUAACUUUACCUUAGAUCUGGGACAGCCUUGGGAAACUGAGGGUAAACCCGGAUAGGAAAUUUAAACUGGAAUGUAAUUUUUCUGAAAAGUAAUGUCUAAGGAUAGGUCGGCGGCUGAUUAGGUUGUUGGAGAGGUAAUGGCUCACCAAGCCUUUGAUCAGUAGGGGCCCUGAGAGGGGUAGCCUCGAGAAGGACACUGAGAAACUGGUCCUAGCCCUACGGGGUGCAGCAGGCGCGAAACCUUUACAAUGCACGAAAGUGCGAUAAGGGAAUCCCAAGUGCUUACACAUUGUGUAGGCUUUUGCCAAGAGUAAAUAUCUUGGCGAAUAAGUGGUGGGCAAGACUGGUGCCAGCCGCCGCGGUAACACCAGCGCCACAAGUGGCAAUCGCCUUUAUUGGGCCUAAAGCGUCCGUAGCUGGUUUUGUAAAUCCUUUGUGAAAUCGUUGGGCUUAACCCAACGACGUGCAAGGGACACUGCAAGACUUGGAACCGGAAGGAGUCAGAAGUAUUCUUGGGGGAGCGGUAAAAUGUUAUAAUCCCAAGAGGACUACCUGUGGCGAAGGCGUCUGACUAGGACGGAUUCGACAGUGAGGGACGAAAGCCAGGGGAGCAAUCCGGAUUAGAUACCCGAGUAGUCCUGGCCGUAAACGCUGCGAGCAAGGUGUUGCAUAUUCUCCGUGAAUGUGCAGUGUCGAAGAGAAGUCGUUAAGCUCGCCGCCUGGGAAGUAUGGUCGCAAGGCUGAAACUUAAAGGAAUUGGCGGGGGAGCACUACAAGGGGUGCGGCGUGCGGUUUAAUCUAAUUCAACACAGAGAAUCUCACCAGAGGCGACGGCAGGAUGACAGUCUGGCUAAAGACCAUACUUGACGAGCCGAGAGGUAGUGCAUGGCCGCCGUCAGCUCGUGCCGUAAGGUGUCCUGUUAAGUCAGGCAACGAGCAAGACCUGCACCUAUAAUUGCUAACAGAUAAUCUUUAUGACUGAGCACAUUAUAGGAACUGCCUGGGAAACCAGGAGGAAGGUGCAGGCUACGGUAGGUCUGUAUGCUCCGAAUCUUCUGGGCUACACGCGCGCAACAAUGGUAGAGACAAUGGGAUGCGACUCUGAAAAGAGGAGCUAAGCCUCUAAACUCUAUCCAAGUCCAGAUUGAGGUUUGUAACUCAGCCUCAUGACGAUGGAAUCCCUAGUAAUCGUGCUUUAUCAGAGCACGGUGAAUGUGUCCCUGCUCCUUGCACACACCGCCCGUCAAACCAACCGAGCAGAGUUUAGGUAAGACUUGAUUUUCUUGAUCCGGUCGAACCUAAGCCCAGUGAGGUGGGUUAAGUCGUCACAAGGUA